rnacentral:rRNA from 1 species
GGAAUAUUGGGCAAUGGAGGAAACUCUGACCCAGCGACGCCGCGUGCGGGAUGAAGGCCUUCGGGUUGUAAACCGCUUUCAGUAGGGAAGAAGCGAAAGUGACGGUACCUACAGAAGAAGCACCGGCUAACUAUGUGCCAGCAGCCGCGGUAAUACAUAGGGUGCAAGCGUUGUCCGGAAUUAUUGGGCGUAAAGAGCUCGUAGGUGGUUCGUUACGUCGGAUGUGAAAAUCUGGGGCUCAACCCCAGACCUGCAUCCGAUACGGGCGAGCUAGAGUUUGGUAGGGGAGACUGGAAUUCCUGGUGUAGCGGUGGAAUGCGCAGAUAUCAGGAGGAACACCAAUGGCGAAGGCAGGUCUCUGGGCCAAUACUGACACUGAGGAGCGAAAGCGUGGGGAGCGAACAGGAUUAGAUACCCUGGUAGUCCACGCCGUAAACGGUGGGCGCUAGUUGUGGGAACCUUCCACGGUUUCUGCGACGCAGCUAACGCAUUAAGCGCCCCGCCUGGGGAGUACGAUCGCAAGAUUAAAACUCAAAUGAAUUGACGG